rnacentral:tRNA from 1 species
GGAGUGUACAGCUCGCUGGUAGAGUGCAUGCUUACCAUGUAUAAGGUCCUGGGUUCAAUCCCCAGUACCUCCA